GAUGAACGCUGGCGGCGUGCCUAAUACAUGCAAAUCGAGCGAACAGAUAAGGAGCUUGCUCCUUUGACGUUAGCGGCGGACGGGUGAGUUACACGUGGAUAACCUACCUAUAAGACUGGGAUAACUUCGGGAAACCGGAGCUAAUACCGGAUAACAUAUUGAACCGCAUGGUUCAAUAGUGAAAGGCGGCUUUGCUGUCACUUAUAGAUGGAUCCGCGCCGUAUUAGCUAGUUGGUAAGGUAACGGCUUACCAAGGCAACGAUACGUAGCCGACCUGAGAGGGUGAUCGGCCACACUGGAACUGAGACACGGUCCAGACUCCUACGGGAGGCAGCAGUAGGGAAUCUUCCGCAAUGGGCGAAAGCCUGACGGAGCAACGCCGCGUGAGUGAUGAAGGUCUUCGGAUCGUAAAACUCUGUUAUCAGGGAAGAACAAAUGUGUAAGUAACUGUGCACAUCUUGACGGUACCUGAUCAGAAAGCCACGGCUAACUACGUG
rnacentral:rRNA from 1 species